rnacentral:rRNA from 1 species
UACGGGGGGGGCAAGCGUUGUUCGGAAUUACUGGGCGUAAAGGGCUCGUAGGCGGCCAACUAAGUCAGACGUGAAAUCCCCAGGCUCAACCUGGGAACUGCGUCUGAUACUGGAUGGCUUGAAUCCGGGAGAGGGAUGCAGAAUUCCAGGUGUAGCGGUGAAAUGCGCAGAUAUCAGGAGGAACACCAAUGGCGAAGGCAGCUCGCUGGAACGGUACUGACGCUGAGGCGCGAAAGCGUGGGGAGCAAACAGG